GACGAACGCUGGCGGCAUGCCUAAUACAUGCAAGUCGAGCGAACAUUUAUAGACGCUUGCUUCCAUAAAUGUUAGCGGCGGAUGGGUGAUCAACACGUGCGCAACCUGCCCUGCAGAUGGGGAUAACUCCGGGAAACUGGGGCUUAUACCGGAUAAUCAGAAUGUCCGCACGGCCAAACUCUAAACGACGGCUUCGGCUGUUACUGCAGGAUGGGCCCGCGGCGGAUUAGCUAGUUGGUGGGAUAACGGCCUACCAAGGCGACGAUGCGUAGCCGACCUGAGAGGAUGAUCGGCCACACUGGGACUGAGACACGGCCCAGACUCCUACGGGAGGCAGCAGUAGGGAAUCUUCCACAAUGGGCGAAAGUCUGAUCGAGCAAUGCCGCGUGAAGGAUGAAGGUUUUCGGAUCGUAAAGCGCUGUUGUGAGGGAAGAACAGGUUCGGGAGUAACUGCGCGUAACUUGACGGUACCUCAUUAGAAAGCCCCGGCUAACUACGUG
rnacentral:rRNA from 1 species